AUGGAUCCGGCGUCCGAGGAGCUCGAGCGCCGCAGCCACUACCUCAGCUCACUCAUCCGCCGCACCAAGCUCAAUGCCGCGCCCGCCCCGCCACCUCGUACUUCUCACCCGAAGCCGGAGACGAAGCUGGAGCUGGAGCGGGAGCGCUCGCCCAUCCGCCGCACCAAGCUCAAGCUCAACGCCGCGCCCGCCCUCCCUCCUUCUACCACUCACCCGGAGACCGGGAAACUGGAGCGGGAGCCGGGCCCUAAGAACCAGAACCUCGUUGAGGCCAAAGCAUUGGUGGAGAGGGAAGUGAAAGAGGGCGACGGAAAGGGGAAGGAGGAGAGGAAGGUCUCGGUGCGGGUCCGGGCGGCCGACAUGCCGGUGGUGCUGCAGCGGCGCGCGAUCCGGCUCGCCUACGAUGCUGUCUCUGCAACACCGCGGGCCGACGGCAAGCGUCUAGCCCUCGUGCUCAAGAAGGAAUUUGACGCGUCAUACGGCCCUGCUUGGCACUGCAUUGUUGGGACAAGCUUUGGCUCCUAUGUUACUCACACAUUGGGAGGUUUCUUAUACUUCUCUGUUGACAAGGUCCACAUUCUUCUCUUCAGAACUGCUGUUGAGCCAUUAGGCCAUCUGCGGUGA
rnacentral:rRNA from 1 species